CCUCCCUCCUCCCUCCCUCCUCCUUCCCUCCCUGCCACCGGAGCGCCCGCGGCCCGCACACCUCGGCCUCCCCCGCGGCCCACAGGGAAGAGGAUGGCGGAGAGCGAGGCCGAGACCCCCAGCACUCCCUGCGAGUUCGAGAGCAAGUACUUCGAGUACAAUGGGGUGCGGCUGCCGCCCUUCUGCCGCGGGAAGAUGGAGGAGAUCGCCAAUUUCCCGGUGAGGGACAGCGACGUCUGGAUUGUCACCUAUCCCAAAUCAGGCACAGGCUUGCUGCAGGAAGUGGUGUAUCUAGUGAGUCAGGGAGCUGAUCCAGAUGAGAUUGGACUAAUGAAUAUAGAUGAGCAACUCCCAGUCCUAGAGUACCCUCAGCCCGGUCUGGACAUCAUCAAGGAACUGACCUCCCCUCGACUCAUCAAAAGCCACCUCCCCUAUCGGUUUUUGCCUUCAGACCUCCACAACGGCAACUCAAAGGUAAUAUACAUGGCUCGAAACCCCAAAGACCUGGUGGUGUCUUAUUACCAGUUCCACCGCUCCCUAAGGACCAUGAGCUACAGAGGAACGUUUCAGGAGUUCUGCAGAAGGUUUAUGAAUGACAAGUUAGGAUAUGGUUCGUGGUUUGAACAUGUGCAAGAGUUUUGGGAACACCACAUGGAUGCCAAUGUACUUUUUCUCAAGUAUGAAGACAUGCAUAAGGACCUAGGAACAAUGGUUGAGCAGCUGGUGAGGUUCUUAGGAGUUUCUUAUGAUAAAGCUCAGCUGGAAUCCAUGGUGGAACACUGCCAUCAACUCAUUGAUCAGUGCUGUAAUGCAGAGGCUCUUCCUGUUGGCAGGGCACAUUGAUCUUUACUCUGAAGAUAACCCUGAACUGCUGUGAAAGCAGAACAAUGAUUAGAUUUGUUACUUGUGUUUGACUCUUAUCACAUCCUAAUUUACGCAGUUGCAUGAUUCAAAUCAUAAACCAGGACGAGUUGGGCUAUGGAAAGACAUCUUCACUGUUUCAAUGAAUGAGAAAUUUGAUUUAGUUUAUAAACAGAAGAUGGGAAAAUGUGACCUCACAUUUGAUUUUUAUUUAUAAAAAAUGCAUGCAUAUGAUAUCCAGAUAUAGCUAAAAGUGCUUUAUGCAUUCAUUUAUUACUUGCUGGACAAACUACUGUAGCUAUUAUGUGUAAUAAAAUUUAAAGAAAAACAAUCUAAGUAAACCAUAUCAGAUGCAAUUAUCUUUGAUCCUGAACAGCUGUUUAUCUUCUAGUAUUUAAGUCCUUUGUCCACAUGCAAGAACUUCCCAGACAAUACUAGAACAUUCAGCUGUUAUGGAAUGUAUUAUAUACGUAUAAGGUAUGUAUCAUAUAUGCAACUAGAAUGUACACCUUUUCAGCCCCACAUUGAUUAUUUAAUGUGUUUUAUAAAAGCUUGUCACUAGAACCUAAAUAAACAUCUGUAAACCAAAUAAAAAUUUAUUUCUGAGGGAAACAAGUAACAGGCCAAAACAGUAUGCUAGAAUGAUCUCAGGGGUUAAUUGUCACAUUUAUUUUUAUAGCAGGUAUAACCAAGUAUAAAUAAAUCCCAUACCAAAAUAGGAACUGAUCCAAGUGGGGUUCACAUUAGGUUCUGCACACCCUUAUCUGCUUGAUUUGAGUAGGUUCUGUGCACUGGCACACUGCAAGACAGGGCUUGUUCUGAUUUACAGCUGUGAUUGUCAGCCUGAUCCCAAAUCCCACCCCAUGCCUUUAUGGAGACAGCUCAGAGCUGACUUCCUAACGCAGGCAGUUCAGCUCCAUGCACAGGGACAGCAGAUAGAUGAUUCUUAAGCCCUUAGUUCUAGGUCACUCCCUCAAAAUGGGGCUUAAAAGCCAGGAAUCUGGUGCAGGGACUUUCCUGAAGAACCAGUCUUCAACCCAUGUCACUUUGCUGUGUGAAUUUCUCCCUUUAGGGGCAACCCCAGAAAUUAAAGUGCUGGAUAAGCUCCAGUUCCACUAAAAGGUAAGGGCACCUAGAAGUGUUUAUGGGUUGUACUCCUGGACUCCACCAGACCUAAGGGGAAGAUCUGUGCCAGUGUAAAAACAGGAAAAGGGAACUGCAGCAUCCGAGGAGGAGAGUUGAUGGAUAUACCAGCAGGUGGGAGUAUUGCACAAAUAUCCAUGCACAAUAAAUUCCAGGAAUUGUUAGCCAUGACUGGUUUGGAUUAUAAUCAGGAUUCAAGUUUAUUUCUCUUAUCUUUUUUUCAUCUCUACACAAACAGCCUGAAGCAGGCUACUAUCACUACAGAACUCUCACAAAUUAUUUUAUUGUUCCAUUAUGUAAUGACACCCAUGCUUUUUAGGUUCUCAGCUGCAGGAGGUCCAUUUUUGCUAGUCAAAUGUUCAGGCUCACCAAAAACUGUGAGGAAAGACUAGUUUUUAGUGUUUCAGUUCUGUUGGGAAACUGUCAGUUCAGCACUGGCAAGUGGUGUAGCAUGAUGUGGCUUGACAGCACUUUUCCUUGUAUAUUUGUGAGUGAAAAUGCUUUCAGUGAAAUUUUAUUUCUAUUUUUAUAUUUUUAGUACUGUAUGAAUAUUAAGCACUACACAUUAUACUUCUGUGCUUGCUUGCUUACUGAAUAAAAGAUGUGUUCUGUGCA